UGGAGCCAUACUCUCCUAAACUCACUGUCUCAUCUCUGUACACUUCUAUUAGGAUUCUUCUUGCAGGCUCAGCACCAUGAAAGUGCAUCAGGUAUUUGGACACAGGGUCUCAAAAGGACAGGAUGAAGCACAGACAUGCUCACCCCACAUACAUCAAACAGCUGAAGGGUUCCUGUUACACAGCUGAUUCAUCACACUGGGGCUUUCUGCCCGUUUGAAGCACCUUGAAGACACUCCAAGUGCUGAGGAAGCAUUGCAAGACACUUCCUCAGCAACAACACUAAGUUUUGAAGUGCACAUACCAGUUAGCAUGAACUGAUACGCAUUGUCAGAGAUGGAGAAGAUGUGAGGAGGUGCCUCUGUACGUUUUUUGCCCCGGUAACCAGCCACAACCUCUGGAUUGUAUACAGGAAGCCAUUUGUAUGGGUUGACAGUGACACAGAAGAGACCUGAGUAAGUCUACAUGAAAACCAAGAGAAGAAUAGUUACAUUCUACCCUGCUUGGGGGUUCUUCUUUUGCCCGAGGUAACACAACUUACAUAGAUCAUCCAGGAACUGUAGCGAUCUUUGAGGUUAUACAAAACUGCAGGUUCAUGCAAGUGUGUCAGCAUUGCCAUAUCUUCAAUUCUGUCAAACUUUGGUGGGUUCAUAGCAUAUACAUCUUCUGGCUUGACAGUCAGUGUCUGAAAAGUGAAGUGGAAAAGACAUAAUAUAAGGCAGGGUCAGGAAGCAAUGCAAACCUCAUUGCAAACACAAUUCUUUGAUCAGGGCAUCAUUACUACUUGCUUUAGAGCUCUUUUUUCCUUGGACCUGCCUUUAGCUUGACAAAGACAGGCAAUAUUGUAGCGAACAUUAAAGUUGUCAAGGAAUUAAGCCUAGUUUUCAACAUAAUACAGUUGUUUCAACAAGCUAUUUGAAUUGAAUAGCUCAAGGAUCUUGGAACUUACAGUUUAAGCUCGAUAUGAAAAAAAAAACAUCAAUAGAGAAAUUGUAUUUCAUCAGAGACCUGGUUAGCCCACCUCUAUAUUUACUUUGAAGAAGUAAUCCCAGUGUGCAGUGUGCUUUACACCUCUUCUCCCAUUUAUCUGCUGAAUAACCAAUUGAAAAAACUUGGCCGAGAUUAAUGUUUUUGUUCAGUGGAUUUCACCCUUGUUUUCCCAUGUCCAAACCCAAUAGUGUCUCCAUCAUACCACAAAUAGGAAACCAGUGAUCUAUUACAUUCUUUAUUCUGGAGAGAGGGAGGGAGUUAUGGUUUCUAGGGGAGCAAAAACAUCCUCUGCUCUGUUUAAUGCUUACCCUGCCAUCAUGGGUCUCAACAGUAGUCUUCCCACCUUCAGAACCCUUGAUUUUCCCUUUGGCAUAUUCCUCCUUGGUAUCAGCCACAUAGCAAUAAGUUUUGGCAUCAAAGGGUUGGUUCUGAGCUUCUAUUCGCUCCUUCUCAGACUUGCGUAGGAAAGGGGCAGCGGGCCCAAAAACUUCCAUUUCUGCAUCCCUGCUCAUGGCUGCAGCUAAAAAUGGAGAAGAAUGCUUGGUUUGGUCUUGAAGGCUGAGACUUGAAACAGAGACAUGAUAUUCAGUUACCAGUGGGCAUUAAAAAGCCUUUAUCCACAAACCUAGACCAUGGCAUAUCACAGCUGUGUGUUUGUCGCACAAAUACAAAAUAUAAAUUCUUCAAAUACA